UGGAGUAUAGCUAAGUGGUAAGGCAUCAGUUUUUGGUACCUUCAUGAAAAGGUUCAAAUCCUUUUACUCUAG
rnacentral:tRNA from 1 species